rnacentral:rRNA from 1 species
CUGGCUCAGGAUGAACGCUGGCGGCGUGCCUAACACAUGCAAGUCGAGCGGAGAUAAGUUGAAGCCUAGCGAUUCUUAUCUUAGCGGCGGAUGGGUGAGUAACACGUGGGUAACCUGCCCUGUACUGGGGAAUAACAGCUGGAAACGGCUGUUAAUGCCGCAUAUGCGCACGGAGCCGCAUGACUCCGGGCGGAAAAGAUUUAUCGGUACAGGAUGGGCCCGCGCCGGAUUAACUAGUUGGCGGGGUAACGGCCCACCAAGGUGAUGAUCCGUAGCCGACCUGAGAGGGUGACCGGCCACAUUGGGACUGAGACACGGCCCAAACUCCUACGGGAGGCAGCAGUGGGGGAUAUUGCACAAUGGGGGAAACCCUGAAUGCAGCGACGCCGCGUGAAGGAUGACGUAUUUCGGUAUGUAAACUUCUAUCAGCGGGGAAGAAGAUGACGGUACCCGACUAAGAAGCCCCGGCUAACUACGUGCCAGCCGCUGC